GAUGAACGCUGGCGGCGUGCCUAAUACAUGCAAGUCGAACGCACAGCGAAAGGUGCUUGCACCUUUCAAGUGAGUGGCGAACGGGUGAGUAACACGUGGACAACCUGCCUCAAGGCUGGGGAUAACAUUUGGAAACAGAUGCUAAUACCGAAUAAAACUUAGUGUCGCAUGACACAAAGUUAAAAGGCGCUUCGGCGUCACCUAGAGAUGGAUCCGCGGUGCAUUAGUAGUUGUGGGUAAAGGCUACAAGACAAUGAUGCAUAGCCGAGUUGAGAGACUGAUCGGCCACAUUGGGACUGAGACA
rnacentral:rRNA from 1 species